CGCCGCGUGGGGGAUGACGGUCUUCGGAUUGUAAACCCCUUUCAGUAGGGACGAAGCGCAAGUGACGGUACCUGCAGAAGAAGCACCGGCUAACUACGUGCCAGCAGCCGCGGUAAUACGUAGGGUGCGAGCGUUGUCCGGAAUUACUGGGCGUAAAGAGCUCGUAGGCGGUUUGUCACGUCGUCUGUGAAAUCCCUCGGCUUAACCGGGGGCGUGCAGGCGAUACGGGCAGACUUGAGUACUACAGGGGAGACUGGAAUUCCUGGUGUAGCGGUGAAAUGCGCAGAUAUCAGGAGGAACACCGGUGGCGAAGGCGGGUCUCUGGGUAGUAACUGACGCUGAGGAGCGAAAGCAUGGGUAGCGAACAGGAUUAGAUACCCUGGUAGUCCAUGCCGUAAACGGUGGGCGCUAGGUGUGGGGUCCUUCCACGGACUCCGUGCCGUAGCUAACGCAUUAAGCGCCCCGCCUGGGGAGUACGGCCGCAAGGCUAAAACUCAAAGGAAUUGACGGGGGCCCGCACAAGCGGCGGAGCAUGUGGAUUAAUUCGAUGCAACGCGAAGA
rnacentral:rRNA from 1 species